UAAACAUAAUAAUAUCCAUAAUAUAAAACAUUCAAAAUACAAAUUAAUUAAAACUGAAAAAAACUAAGCAUUAAGGUUUAUUUCGUCGAAGAAGUCGGAUGAUGUGCCGGAGGUAGAAGCUGAUGGAUCCGGCUGUCUGAGAAAGGUACUCCCGUAAGAGUUUCUAGACGCAAGGUUCCUAAGUCUCUUUCUACCGCCAGCCAUAGCAAUAUCG
rnacentral:lncRNA from 1 species